AUUGAACGCUGGCGGCAUGCCUUACACAUGCAAGUCGAACGGCAGCAUGGAGAGCUUGCUCUCUGAUGGCGAGUGGCGAACGGGUGAGUAAUGCAUCGGAACGUACCGUGUAAUGGGGGAUAACGUAGCGAAAGUUACGCUAAUACCGCAUACGACCUGAGGGUGAAAGCAGGGGAUCGCAAGACCUUGCGUUAUACGAGCGGCCGAUGUCAGAUUAGCUAGUUGGUGAGGUAAAGGCUCACCAAGGCGACGAUCUGUAGCGGGUCUGAGAGGAUGAUCCGCCACACUGGGACUAAGACACGGCCCAGACUCCUACGGGAGGCAGCAGUGGGGAAUUUUGGACAAUGGGGGCAACCCUGAUCCAGCCAUGCCGCGUGAGUGAAGAAGGCCUUAGGGUUGUAAAGCUCUUUUGUCAGGGAAGAAACAGCAGCUCUAACACAGUUUGCGAAUGACGGUACCUGAAGAAUAAGCACCGGCUAACUACGUGCCAGCCGCCGCAGUAA
rnacentral:rRNA from 1 species